GAUGAACGCUGGCGGCGUGCCUAAUACAUGCAAGUCGAGCGAACAGACGAGGAGCUUGCUCCUCUGACGUUAGCGGCGGACGGGUGAGUAACACGUGGAUAACCUACCUAUAAGACUGGGAUAACUUCGGGAAACCGGAGCUAAUACCGGAUAACAUGUUGAACCGCAUGGUUCAACAGUGAAAGACGGUCUUGCUGUCACUUAUAGAUGGAUCCGCGCCGCAUUAGCUAGUUGGUAAGGUAACGGCUUACCAAGGCAACGAUGCGUAGCCGACGUGAGAGGGUGAUCGGCCACACUGGAACUGAGACACGGUCCAGACUCCUACGGGAGGCAGCAGUAGGGAAUCUUCCGCAAUGGGCGAAAGCCUGACGGAGCAACGCCGCGUGAGUGAAGAAGGUCUUCGGAUCGUAAAACUCUGUUAUUAGGGAAGAACAAAUGUGUAAGUAACUAUGCACGUCUUGACGGUACCUAAUCAGAAAGCCACGGCUAACUACGUG
rnacentral:rRNA from 1 species